rnacentral:rRNA from 1 species
UACAGAGGGUGCAAGCGUUGUUCGGAUUUACUGGGCGUAAAGCGCGUGUAGGCGGUGGCGUAAGUCGGAUGUGAAAUCCCUCGGCUUAACCGAGGACGUGCACCCGAUACUGCGUCACUUGAGUGCCGGAGGGGAUGGCGGAAUUCCCGGUGUAGAGGUGAAAUUCGUAGAUAUCAGGGGGAACACCGGUGGCGAAGGCGGAUCUCUGGGCCAUUACUGACGCUGGAGGAGCGAAAGCGUGGGGAGCGAACGAGG